GACGAACGCUGGCGGCGUGCCUAACACAUGCAAGUCGAACGAACAGGCCCGGCUCUUGUGGCUUUCUCGUUAGGGGCACGCGGGUGAGACACGUGUGUAUCCUGCCCCUGUCUUUCGGGUAUCUUUAGGGAACACCGGCGCAUACCCCAUAGAAUCUCUUGCACCGCGUGGGGCGUUGGUAAGAUUCGGCUGUUGGGGAUGUAAUCGAGGCUUAUCAGCUUGUUGGUGGGGUAGUGGCUUACGAAGGCUUUGACGGGUAGCCUGCCUGAGAGGGUGGACGGGCACAAUGGGACUGCGGGACGGCGCAGACUGCUACGGGAGGCAGCAGUGGGGAAUAUUGCACAAUGGGCGGGAGCGUGAUGUAGCGGCGCUGGGUGCGGGAUGACGUCCUUCUGGUUGUGAACAGAUUUCGCCUGUGACGAAGAGUGAGUGACGGUAAUGGGUAAAGAAGCACCGGCUAACUACGUG
rnacentral:rRNA from 1 species